rnacentral:rRNA from 1 species
GAUGAACGCCGGCGGCGUGCCUAAUACAUGCAAGUCGAGCGAACGGACGAGAAGCUUGCUCCUCUGACGUUAGCGGCGGACGGGUAAGUAACACGUGGAUAACCUACCUAUAAGACUGGGAUAACUUCGGGAAACCGGAGCUAAUACCGGAUAAUAUUUUGAACCGCAUGGUUCAAUAGUGAAAGACGGUCUUGCUGUCACUUAUAGAUGGAUCCGCGCUGCAUUAGCUAGUUGGUAAGGUAACGGCUUACCAAGGCAACGAUGCAUAGCCGACCUGAGAGGGUGAUCGGCCACACUGGAACUGAGACACGGUCCAGACUCCUACGGGAGGCAGCAGUAGGGAAUCUUCCGCAAUGGGCGAAAGCCUGACGGAGCAACGCCGCGUGAGUGAUGAAGGUCUUCGAAUCGUAAAACUCUGUUAUUAGGGAAGAACAUAUGUGUAAGUAACUGUGCACAUCUUGACGGUACCUAAUCAGAAAGCCACGGCUAACUACGUG